UCUCAAUUACCAUAUCAGGAUCCCCUCCAAAUACUUGAGGCUGAUAUACAACAAGCUGCUGCAAUUCCAAGAGCUAGAGGAGAGACUCAUAAAAUGAAAUUGGUUUGCAAUGGAUGAAUUGUUCUUGUGUGAAUAACGUACACUCUUAUUUUGUGUGAAUGAUUAUGAUGACUCUUUGUAUUGGAGGCAUAUAUCCAUGCCACUUAUGUAGCCUUUUAUUUGUUGGUAACCGAGGUAUAUAUAUGUUAUCACCAAGGGUUAAACUUAGAAUCUAAUAAGGGAGUGUGGUGAUUUUAUAAUUAUUUGUCUCUGCGGCAUGUUAUAUAACUUUGUAUCAGACUAAACUCUUAAUCUGAUCCAAAUAUAAAAUACAUUUAUCCUCAAAAUACGAAAAAUAUGUAGAUUCAAUUUGAUACAAAAUAUAUAGAUAGUUUUAAGUUUAUGCUUUUGGAAGCUAAUGGAUUCAAUCGUGUGUUUUUCGGUUUGGAAUCUUACGAGUACAAGGAGAUGACUCCAAUACAUGUUAGUGUCAUUAUGAUGUAGUAAUCAACGUACUCUAUUUUUAGAGUCAAAAACUUGUGAUGUAUUGUUCUUGUUAGCCUGUUCAUAUUUCUCAACUUUUUGUAUCUUCUGUUCUAUUUUUGAGCAGGUUAUCUGAAGAGCUAUGGUUGAGUUAAUGUUUGAGCCUCAGAAGCUUCCAGCAGAAGAAUUAAUCGAAAGAAUUCACAUAUCCCUUGCUUAGCUAUAAGUAAUAGAUGCUAUGGAAUAACCAUACAUUUUGGGUGUUUAAAGAUCCAAGUGGACGACAUGGUGAGCUUUGUGGAUUUGAGAUUGAUUUAUGCAAGAUUUAUGGGACUAGCUUAUGCAGCAAAUUGAAUUGAGUAAUGGAGCAAUUGAAAGCAUUGAGAUUGAGUUCAUUAAUUAUAAUACAGGUAAUCGAAUAAGAAGAGUCUAGCGA